GCCGGCGGGGCGGGGCGGAGGAGGUGACAGCUGCCCUCGUCGCUCCACCCCCUCAGGGGGAGGCGGGGCAAGUCUUAAAGAUCAAGGUCCUGAAAUACCCGAGUCCUCCGGGGCCGGGCACAGACUCGUCCCACCCACGGUUGUCACGCCCACGGUUGUUGCUUGGCAAACACACCCAGUGGGCCCCGCAGAUGCGGCUCGUAGAGAGUUUGUGGGGACGCUUGGACCGUGGAGACUGAGCCGCACUUCGUCGGUGCGAAGGGAUGCGGCCGGAAUCCGCAGCAGAGCAGGAGCGGCGAGGUCCACCGCCCUCGGCCCGCCGACCCGCAGCACUGCCCGGAGUGGCUCGGGAUGGACACCCGAGCAGGCUGGAGGGCUUUCCUCUGCCUCCGCUGCUCUGUCCUUUGCCUCCGGCACCCUCCACGUUGGGGCAUCUCUCCGCUCCGAGGGUGCGGUGUGAUUUUGCCACGAGGCCGAGUCUACCAAGGAAGAUUUCAGCUUCAGUUCCUAAUUCAAAUACCACCGUUUCAGCGAGGCCUCCCGUGACAACCUGUUUAAAUCGAAGCCACUUUUCCCAGCAAUUCCCGAUUUCCCUUCCCUUCCUUAAGCUCUGUGAGGGUAAGGGUUGUUUUUUUGUUUGUUUGUCUUCUGGGUUUUUUGUUUUUUUUGUUCUUGUCUGUUUUGAUCCCUGUCCGCAGUGCUUAGGGUCCCCAGCAUAUAGUAGGCACUCCCUAAUGUGUAUUAAGUAAAUGACCACAAUCCGUUGA